rnacentral:rRNA from 1 species
GAUGAACGCUGGCGGCGUGCCUAAUACAUGCAAGUCGAGCGAACAGAUAAGGAGCUUGCUCCUUUGACGUUAGCGGCGGACGGGUGAGUAACACGUGGGUAACCUAUCUAUAAGACUGGAAUAACUCCGGGAAACCGGGGCUAAUGCCGGAUAACAUGUUGAACCGCAUGGUUCUACAGUGAAAGGCGGCUUUGCUGUCACUUAUAGAUGGACCCGCGCCGUAUUAGCUAGUUGGUGAGGUAACGGCUCACCAAGGCAACGAUACGUAGCCGACCUGAGAGGGUGAUCGGCCACACUGGACUUGGGACACGGUCCAGACUCCUACGGGAGGCAGCAGUGGGGAAUCGUCCGCAAUGGGCGAAAGCCUGACGGAGCAACGCCGCGUGAGUGAUGAAGGUCUUCGGAUCGUAAAACUCUGUUAUUAGGGAAGAACAAAUGCGUAAGUAACUGUGCGCGUCUUGACGGUACCUAAUCAGAAAGCCACGGCUAACUACGUG